rnacentral:rRNA from 1 species
UACGUAGGAUGCGAGCGUUGUCCGGAAUUAUUGGGCGUAAAGAGAACGUAGGUGGUUUCUUAAGUUCGAUCUUAAAGACCGGGGCUCAACCCCGGGAAUGGAUUGAAAACUGGGAGACUAGAGGAUGUUAGAGGACGGUGGAAUUCCAGUGUAGCGGUGAAAUGCGUAGAUAUUGGGAGGAACACCAGUGGCGAAAGCGGACCGUCCUGGGACAU